CUGUUCCCUUCUCAUUAUCACUGGGGUAAUCAAUUUCAUGCGCUAAAAACCAGGCCUCAUCUUCAAUAGGUUGUCUUGUGUAGCCAACAUCCUCAUCGUCAUCAUACUCAUCGGAGUCCCAAUAUUCAUUGGGGUAAUCAAUAGAUUCACUCAGUCCAUCACCAAUUGUUGCAAAACCAGAAACCAGAUCAGAAGUGUCCUCAGCAAU
rnacentral:lncRNA from 1 species